GGAUCUUGGCUCUUCAUGUUUUUAAUUUCUUAUCUGCGAACAAACCUGUUCACGGCUGCUUUUAAUUGAGUCUCCUAUUUAUUGUAAACACCGCGAUUGUUGUUAGCGGAACAUUAACAAAGUUUCAUGCACAUUUGCAAUAGAAACAGAGUUAUUUACGGAAGGGAAACCCAGUCUUUUUGGUUCUGUAGCUUCCCAUUUCCCCCACAGCUGCGUUAGUAAUCACUUACCUGGUUUGCAUUCCAAUAAUUAACAUUCCCAGCCUCUCUAUUCAGCCGGUCGUUCCCUUGUCAGACCCUUCCGUUGUCGAGCCUCUUGCUUCAAGCAUCUCCAGAACUUGCUGAUGCAAUCACACCUGGUUCUAAGUUUUCUGUGGAUUUGUUGCUGCUGCUCUUCAACUCCCACUGAGCCCACAGAGAAACUCUACAUCCUGAUUGGGAUUUUACCAACCACUGGGGAAGAAACAAGAUGAAAAAGAUUAAAGGCACAGCUGAGAGAGGAUCAGGCAUAUCUAUGAAGAUGCUCAGAACAGCAAGAAGUCAUGAAUAAACCAUUGGGCAGCAAGGCAUGAAAAGAAAAUCGAAAUGAGGAUUUGAAUAUCUACAGAAGCAGACAUUUCUUCUCCAGUGGUUGCCAUAGCAAAGUGUAAUAAGGGUCUUCCUCCUCCCUGGAAGUUAGUUUACAGGUAUAACCCCAAUGUCUCUUUGUGUAUCAACAAACUCAACCUGCGGCCAAAGAUUAAAUUUUGUCUGAUAAAUGCUGAAACAGGAAACAAGCUCUGGAAGUAAUAAUUUCAGGAUAUGUUGAAGCUUCAAAAGGACAUGUCCUUUAAUGUGUGAUUAUUAUAAAAUACAAGCUAGACCAGUUAUUUAAAAAAUACAGAUUACUAUGACUGAAUACUAAAACAUACAGCUUUACUGCAGCUGCCAAUUUCAUACCUGGCAUACCUGAUAUGAUCUAUCAGCAGCACUGGCAGGAAUAACAUAGAUAACUGGUACUUUAUGUAUCAUCAUAUACUGAUAUGUUGAUCACAUCACUGGAUACAUUGCUGCAGUAAAGUUAUUAAAGUGACAGUGCUUUACAGAAAAAUAAAGAUUUUUUUUACAUUCAUAAA